GGCCGUGUAGCUCAACAGGGAGAGCGACCACACCGAUGGAAACAUCCCGGUUCAAGUCCGGGCACGGCCA
rnacentral:tRNA from 1 species